AGAGCAGGCUGAUUCAAUAAGAAGGAGGUAACCACAGAACAGAAGAUCAUUUGUGAGAGAUCGCUGAUGUGACGAUGUCUCCAGAUCUGCUCGUCUGCCGUGAGCUUUCUCUGCCAGGAUUCAUAUGAAAGUGGCGGCUGGAUGGAGGACUCCUGUGGUGGAGGUUCGGGUUUGUUGGGUGUGACAGUCUGCUGGGGCUCGUUCUUCGUACGUCGCUAACUCUGUUAGUUGGAUUUGAUUGCUGGCGAUUUGCCAUGAUCUUGGAUGGUUUGGUUCUUUGACACUCAUCCUGGACUUGCUGUCACAGCAACAGGUGAUUACAACAGGAUCCUGCAUGGAGACCCAA